UUUCUUGUCAGACCUCACCACCACCAUUUUUUCUUGCAGAUCAAUGUCCUCCGAAACCGCAUCAGUGACCACCAGAAAGUCAAAGGAUCCAAGGGUGCCCGUGGGAAGACCAUGGUGGGCAGCCGAUGGAAGUAGAGGCUCAGGGAGAGAGGAGGCCAAGCCUCAGGAGCUGCAGUGGCUGAACAGAGCCCUGGCUGCAGGAAUGGGGGUUCUGGGGGGCAGAGGCCUCAUGAGUGUCCACCAUCUCCACCCCCCAGUGUUGUUUUGUCUGUAAAUAAAGAGGUGGUGAGGGGG